rnacentral:misc_RNA from 1 species
AAGUCGUAACAAGGUCUCCGUAGGUGAACCUGCGGAGGGAUCAUUAACAAAAAUCAAAAAAAAAACACAAAUGAAUCCCAAGAACGGAACGAGCCCCAAAAGCUUUUUCUCUUUUUUCGAUUCUUUUUUGCUUUUUUUUUAAUUCAAAAAACACUUUGCGAACCAUGUGACUGACCAAGUUGUUUUUCCGACGCUCUCACGAGUCGAACGAAAUCCUUGGCUUUUUUUUCACUAACAACCAAUUUCACCAAUUUUUUCGAUGAUUUUCUCAUUGCUCGUCUGAGCAGUGAAAGAAGCACAGGAAAAGCCAAUUGAAUAUCAAAAACUGAAAAGUUGAAAAUUUAAUUUCUAAUUUUUUCUUUUUCACAAAAUAAAAAAACAAAAUUAAAGCACAACUCUUAGCAACGGAUAUCUUGGUUCUC